GUGAGUGCCGGAUGCGGGCCCUUGCCGUUCGCAGCUGCGUCUACACCAGACUCGGGGCACAGAGCCAGUGACUGCCUCCCUGGCUUGAAAGGUGCCCCAGUGAGCUGAGCCCAUCGGCCACAACAGGAGUGUGGUUGGCCCAUGUGACUUCAUGCCAGGACCCUUCUCAUCGCAGACCUUGCUCUUCACGGUGGCCUCUGUCCUGCCGCCACCUCACUGACAGCUUCCAGCUCGCCCCAUUUCUUGCCUGUCCAGAGUCGAGAGAGAAUUCAGUAGAUCUGUCUCCAAACCAGCUCCUCUCUUGCUACCGCUUCUCCGUCCCAAACUGUUUUAGGCAGCCCGGCUGCCCUGAGCAUUUCCUGGGCUCAGCAGCUGAUAAUGCUCCUUGCAGGCUGCUGGAUCCGGCCCUUCCGAACACAAACACACACACUCCCUGUUUGGCCUCCAGGUCUACCGCGAUCCCGCAUCAGUGGGAGUCGUGGUCCAAGACAUCACCUGGUUUUCCUUCACUACUCCCCCAAAAGAAGAUGCUCCUCCUCUUUCAACUUCCCUUUUAGUUGGGCAAACAGAAGAGUUGCAGACCCGCAGCUGCUUGGCCUGCCUCAUUCUUUGUUGAUCCCUCUCUUACUAUUUCUCUGGGGACUCAGUAAGGAAAGAUGCGCAAAGCAUCUGUAACGGUGGCGCUCGCCUCCGUGCUACCUCUUCUCCGAGCUUCCGUCACACACAGGCCUUUCUGUCUGGAUGAUGGGGAAAGACAAACCAAACAGCCCUGUGUAGCUUUUCUUUUUAUAUGCCCUGUUUUUUCAUACUAGAGGCUCCAGCUGAGAUGAUCCGACUGGCCCGUGUCAGUUGUGUGUAUUCAGAAACCUGCUCUGCCCUGUUUCUGCGUCGAUCUUCCACAAAAAGAAGCACAUGAAAAUGUGUUUUUUGAAACCACAUGCAUGUUUGUACGCAUUUUUCCUAAAAUAUGUACCCUAAGAUCAUGCUUGAUAUCCAUUCAUGGAUACAUUCUGCUGUAAACUGGAAGUUGUAAGAAAGUGCAAAACCAAAAGAUGUGUAUUCGAACCCGGGACUGGCUCUGUUCCCCUAAAACGGAUAAAGGCGUCCCUGGGCCAGCACUGCCGCAAUAAGCCGAGCUCAGAGGCUGUGGUGCUGUUCAGGCUUGAGCGCUCAAUUUUGAGGAGUCUGUGGCCACCCAGGUGUGCCCCCCCCCCAGCGGCCUGGGGAGCUUCAAAAGUGGAGUCACUUAGCCUGCGGCGAUGGGCGAGUUUGCAUGAUGAGACAAGCCCCUGCUCCUCACCCUGGCGGGUUUUUGGAGUUGUCCAGACCUGAUCUGGAUUUCCUGCAAGGUAGGAUUAGUUUUCUGAAACUACACGGAGAACCAGCAGUCUGUUCUAAGGCUUUCACGCCUCGCCAUGGCUUCCCCAGCCGCCCAGACCUGGGAUUGCUGUUUUACCAGCAGGUACCCUCAGUAGGGCGGCAGCGGAGGGGACACGACCCACCUCAGGACUGUAGUGGCCCAGUCAGGAUGAGACUGCAGCUUUCUGGAAGCAGGAAUAUGGAGAAACUGCCGGGAAGCUGGACUCGAGGGACCGUUCGCCUGCUCAAGCAGAGCCCUUUCUGCAUCUUGGUUUUCUGAGCCCGUUUGUGCUCAUUGUCAAGCUAAGCACCCACUUCUACUUGAUUUUGUUUUCUGCCUCUUUCCUAGUUGCUCCCGGCCGUUUGACAUACUUGUCUAUGAUUUGUCAGCUGUUUGUCAUACUUUCAGCUUGCCUUUCCAAAGUUGCUGAAAAGAAACAGCUGACGGAGGGAAUCGAUGCCGAAUAUUAUCGCAAUAAUAAAGCUUUUUUUUAAAUUACCGCA